ensembl:lncRNA
AAGUGAUACAAAAAAAAUAAUGGAUAACGUUAUGAAAGAAUAUAAUGAGGAUAGUACAACGAACAAAGAGAAUACUAAUAACAAUGUUAGUAAUAAUGAUGCAACAAAUAUAAAUGGCGUAACAGAAGAAAAUAAUAAUUCUUCACGAACACUCAUAAAAGACGAAUUAGAUGAUAAUAAUAAUACACCUAAACAAUUGAUAAAUUGUAAUUCAGUUAAAUCUGAAGAUGAUAGUAAAGGUGUAUGUGGUGUUCGUAGUGAUGGUAAUGAUAAUAGCGGAGAGUAUAGUGGUAACAAAAGCGACAGUAACAACCAUUUUGUUAAUAUAAAGAAUGAUAAUAUUAAGAAAGUUGAGAGCAAUAAAAAGAACAUAAGUAACAGUAGCACAGGGCGAAAUAAAAGUAUCCAGAAGAUAAAAAACGCAAGUGAAAAAUGUUCUAAAGUAUUUAAACUAAUAGAUAAAGAAAAAAAUAAAAGUAAUAGUAAAAAUGUUGAAAAUAUUAUGAACAAUGAAGAUGGUACAAACAAAAUAAAUAAUAAUAUUGAUAGUUGUGACAACGAUGAUAAAUCAUUAGAUAAAUAUUUUAACUGUUUUUUAGAUAUUUCGUAUGACAUGUUAAAUUAUAUUAAAAUAUAUAACAAACAAAAAUACUUGCUAAAAGAAAUGAUGUACGCUGGUUUUGAAGCAUUAGUUGAAAAACAAUUUAAAUAUUUUUUAAAAAUACCAUACGUAACAAUAUCAGAAAUACUAACAAACUUAUUUAAUUUUAGAUAUAAAACAAAUAUUGUUAUUAAUACUGAUUAUAUUGAGGAUAUUAUUUAUUUUUAUCAAAAAAAAAACAAUUUUGAAAUUACUUAUGAUAGAGGAAAAAAUAAAAAAAUUUACCUGUACGAUACACACGAAAUGAACAAAUUGAAUAAUAUAUACUACAGAAAUAUGGAUAGUAUGCGCAAAGAGCAAUUACCGUUAGUUAGUGUUGGUUCUGGCGGUGGUGUGUCUGGUUCUAGUGAUAAUAAAAAAGAAGAGAAAAAUAAAAAUUUGAGCAGAAAUAAUAACAAAAGCAAGCUUAAUAAUAAUAAUAAUAAUACUGAUAAGGUAAAAAUAGAUAAAGAUAAACGUAGUGAUAAUACAUAUGAUUCAAAAGAAAAUAUUUCAAUAAACAAUCAAUCUGUUAAUGGUUUUAACACUAACAGGAAUCGUGUCUAUGGAAGUAGUAGCAGUAAUAAUGGAAAAACGCACAACCUUAGUAACAUCAGUAAUGUUAGCAAAACAAUGAAAACAGGGAAUAAGAACGAAGUUAAUAAAAAAAACAUAAAUAAUAAUGAAGCUUCUAAUUUAAAAAAAAAAAAUAAUAAUAGUAACAACAACAGUAAUAAUAAUAAUAAUAAUAAUAAUAUUAAUAAUAGUUCCCCUGAAGUGUCAAAGAAAAAUACAGGACCAAAAAAAGUUAUUAACAAUGAGGACAAAAAAUUUGAAAAAGCAAAAUCUUGUAUAAUAAUAUGUUCAGACAAUGAAGAUAAAAAUAAAGAUAAAGAUAGUAAAAAUAGAAUUUUUCAAAACGAUCGCGUAAUAAACAAUUUAAAUCAUACUAAAACAAAAAAUUAUAUGAGUAAUGAGAUAGUAAAAAAUGUAAAAUAUAAAAAGCGACAUGACACUGUAGAUAGUACUAACAAUAAUAUGAUAAAUAUAAAUAUGAUGAAUAUAAAUAUGAUGAAUAGAAAUAUGACGAAUAGAAAUAUGAUGAAUAGAAAUAUGAUAAAUAGAAAUGCGAUAAAUAAUGAUACGAUAAAUAGAAAUAUGAUAAAUAGAAAUAUGAUAAAUAGUGAUACAAUUAAAAAUAUAUAUAUGAGUAGUGGUCAUCAUCUGCAAAUAGAUGGUAAUGACAGUCGCAAUAAUAGAAGUAACAAUGUGUAUUAUCAAAAUACAAAUUUUAAUAUGUACAAUGCAAAUAAUUUAAACGGCUAUAACAAUAAACAAGUUGAACAUCAUAGUAAAAAUGACAAUACAAAUGACACUACGGAUGGUGGUUACGUAUAUAUGAACCAGCAACAUGUUGGUAAUAAAAUACCUUUAAUGGAAGAUAUUAAAGAAAACAUAAAUCCUAAAAAUAAUAUGUUAUAUUAUGAUAACAUGCAACUGUAUAAAAAAAGAAAACUGCUAAAAGGUUAUGGUAGUACGCGAAGUGAAUAUAUACCAUCAGCAAAUAUUUUGAAAAAAAAUAAUGAAAUACAUAAAAUUUUAAAAGAAAAAAAUUCACAUGGGAAUAAUAACUACAUAUGUAUCGAAUCGGACAAUGGUGUAUAGAGUUUGAUAUGCUGUUGAAAAAGAAGAAAAAAUACAUAUACAUAUAUAGAAUCUCGACUUAUAUACAUUUACUAUCAAAAAAAAAAAAAAAAAACAUAUAUUAUUCAUUAUAAUAUUGUUAUCUUAAACUGUUAAGCAUAAAAAGCGAUGAGAAGUUUUAGUUUUUUUUUUUUUUUUUUUUUUACAAAACGGCCGGGCUAAUAUGCAAGAAUUAAGCACACAUUUGUUUAUAACGUAUUUUGACGUGUAAAAAAUUUCAUAUUUAAAACAUGGUUUACUUAAAAACAUUUCUCUU